rnacentral:rRNA from 1 species
AGGAUGCACUCGCAUCCAGUAGGCUGCUCGAUCCGGAAUUCAAGCCCUCCAAGCUGUCCCAAGAUCAGCUCGACAAGUUUAAGGAAUUGCACAAGAAACGGCUACAAAUAAAGGAAAAAACAAAAUCCAAAGGAAAACCUAAAGGAAGAACUGGGGAGAAUACAAAUGUAGCCAAUGAUUCUAAAUUUAAUAAUAAGGAUAAAUCAAUUGAUAGUGCCGCAAUAGAUGUACAGCAUACAACAUCAACUACAGGAGCCCAAGCGAAUCUUGCACCGUCCCUGCCCUUGAGGAACAAAAGGAAGUUGCAUUGGGGGCUUGAUGUUAAAGAACGAUGGGAGAGGAAAGCGAACAUGUGAAUUUCUGAAGAUCGUUUAAAUUCUCGGAGCAAAGCAAACCCUCCAUGUAAAUGGGAAAAAAAUCUUUAUGCCUUCUUGAUGACCUAGUUGAAUGUAUUCAUCUUUCUGUUAGCAGGCAGAAUAGCUGGGCGAAAGCCACAAGAUCUAGGCCACAAAUUUCCUGGUUUGCAGUUUUCUAUCUGAUGCCUUGUGCAGGUUAUGUAGCUAGAUAUUCCUAUUUUAAGUACCUGUCCAGAUCUCUUGUUGGGUACUUCAGGCCCACGCCGCGCAGGUUAUAGAACAUCCUGCUUAGCGAGACAGGGAAGGUAUUGAAAAUCCUGUUUCAAAUGUUGUGUACGAUUAUGACAUGCUGCUGUUGCUGCUUUUACAGCAAAUUAUAAGUUUGUCCCGGUUUAUUUUACCUCCCUGAGCCCUUGUGGGCCACUUGCA